GCGAGCGUAGCUCAGCUGGUUAGGAGCACACGACUGAUAAUCGUGAGGUCGAUGGUUCAAGUCCAUUCGUUCGCACCA
rnacentral:tRNA from 1 species